UCCCUAGUGGUCCAGUGGUUAAGACUCCUUGCUUCUAUUGCAAGGGGCCUGGGUUCAAUCCCUGGUGGGGAA
rnacentral:tRNA from 1 species